CCAUACUCUUCAACUUUCACCUUUGUCCUCGUCCUCUCGAUCACCAUGAAUCUUCCCUACAACUCUCAACUAGAGGGAGAAUUAUCUCACCAAUCUCUUACCUUUUUAAUAAUUCAAUUUAAUCUCUUGUAGCUUAUUUAUUAAAUAAGAAAAAUACAUUUUUAUCCCUCUUGAAAAUUAAAAUUAAAACUAUUUUAAUACAAAAAUUUAACUUUGCUCUUAAAUUUUUCAAAUUUUAUCUCAACAUCGCAUUAAACAAUUUGUAGCUCCAUCACUAAUGUGACUAAUGUGAUGCCCUUAAAUGUCAUAAAAAAUUAUUUUUAAGGCGCUUUUACAAUAAAAAAAACUAGAAUGAAAUAAAUACAAAGCUUCGGUAAAGUGGUGAAUUUAAACCCAUAAUAAAUUUGAGAGAGAAUUUAUCAAUAAUUAUAAAAGAAAGAACUUAAAAUUGAAUCUUUAAUAAAUUCGAAGAUUAAAAAAAAAUGAUAGAUGGGUAGAUGAGGUAGAAAAUCUUAGCAAGAUCUUGCUCUUAUUCCGUCCAAAAAAAUGAAUUGUCGGAGUGUGGAUGAGAUGUAUAAUUAUAUGUAAAUGUUUCAAUCACUUUUGGUUAUAGCGUUAAUCAAGCUCCCACUUUUGAAUACAACAAGGAAGAAAUUAAAAGCAUAAGAAACAAUAUUGGUGGAAAACACUUGGAGUGUUUAGUGGAGUCAUAAAAAACGUAUAACACUUUUAUCUCAACGGCUCCAAAGAAUCUGGUACGCAUUUGGAAGAAUAAGGAAGGGGCGAAAUAAAUUAAAGGGGGAGUUUGUGCGGACCGCACCCGUGAUUGCCUCGCAUUUACCUUGACAUCAAUCUGCCCUGAUUUGCGCUUUCCAACAGGCACACUCACCCUUUUCUUUUCUUUUCUUUUCUAUAUGUAUUGGUAUGAAAAAGAGUUCAUGAUAUUCCGGUGCUUCCUUCUUCUUUCAUGGUUCAACCACGACCUAAUAAAUUACUGGAUAAAUAAAACAAUGUGUGGGGGUGGGGAAAAAGUUAACGCCCAAAAUAUCCUUCAAAU
rnacentral:lncRNA from 1 species